UCCGUAGUGAACCUGCGGAAGGAUCAUUACCGAGUGUAGGGUUCCUAGCGAGCCCAACCUCCCACCCGUGUUUACUGUACCUUAGUUGCUUCGGCGGGCCCGCCAUUCAUGGCCGCCGGGGGCUCUCAGCCCCGGGCCCGCGCCCGCCGGAGACACCACGAACUCUGUCUGAUCUAGUGAAGUCUGAGUUGAUUGUAUCGCAAUCAGUUAAAACUUUCAACAAUGGAUCUCUUGGUUCCGGCAUCGAUGAAGAACGCAGCGAAAUGCGAUAACUAGUGUGAAUUGCAGAAUUCCGUGAAUCAUCGAGUCUUUGAACGCACAUUGCGCCCCCUGGUAUUCCGGGGGGCAUGCCUGUCCGAGCGUCAUUGCUGCCCAUCAAGCACGGCUUGUGUGUUGGGUCGUCGUCCCCUCUCCGGGGGGGACGGGCCCCAAAGGCAGCGGCGGCACCGCGUCCGAUCCUCGAGCGUAUGGGGCUUUGUCACCCGCUCUGUAGGCCCGGCCGGCGCUUGCCGAACGCAAAUCAAUCUUUUUCCAGGUUGACCUCGGAUCAGGUAGGGAUACCCGCUGAGCUUAAGCAUAUCAAUAAGCGGAGGA
rnacentral:rRNA from 1 species